UUGAACGCUGGCGGCAGGCCUAACACAUGCAAGUCGAGCGCGAAAGGUUUUCGGACUGAGUAAAGCGGCGGACGGGUGAGUAACGCGUGGGAAUCUGCCCAGUAGUGGGGGACAACAGUCGGAAACGACUGCUAAUACCGCAUACGCCCUACGGGGGAAAGGGGGGGAUCUUCGGACCUCUCGCUAUUGGAUGAGCCCGCGUCGGAUUAGCUAGUUGGUAGGGUAAAGGCCUACCAAGGCUACGAUCCGUAACUGGUCUGAGACGGUGAUCAGUCAGCCUGGAACCGAGACACGGUCCAGAUUCCAAAGGGAGGCGGGAGUGGAGAAUAUGGGACUAUGGGGGCAACCCUGAUCCGGCCAUGCCGCGUGUGUGAAGAAGGCCUUGAGGUUGUAAAGCACUGUCAGUGGGGAGAAAGGUUUGUCACCUAAUACGUGAUGAAAUUGGUGUUACCCACAGAAGAAGCACCGGCUAACUCCGUGCCAGCCGCCGCCGUAA
rnacentral:rRNA from 1 species